GCUGUGGCCCCCCCACACUCCCUAGCAGAUCGUUACAUGGAGAAACCUUUGGAAUACAAGCGCGCUGAUCCACACAGGUAUGCACACGGGUGUUCACUGCUCGUAGACCCAAAUUACACCUUUCUUGGCUGCUACUUCGAAGCACAUCUGUCCUGCGUGCUGCACAACAACAUUGAAUAUUUAGUAUUUACUGCUGUUUACACUGUUUACAACAGGUGAUCCAGGAGAUUUUUAUUUUUUUUCUCCCCCCCUUUCUCACUGUCCCUCUCCCCUUCUGUUUUUCCUUUCCUUCCUCUUUCUUUCUCCCUUUCCUAUCUCUCACUCAUGUCUGUCCCGUCUGUAACAUCUGAAAAUAAAAUAUAAUAAAUACCGUAAUUGUCGGGCUAUAAGCCGCUACUUUUUGCACAAGCUUUGAACCCUGUGGCUUUUAGUCAGGUGCGGCUAAUGUAUGUACAAAACAGGAUUUUCCCCUGAUUUUAGCUUGUGCGGCUAAUAUUCAGGUGCGCUUUGUAGUCCGGGAAAUACGGUAAUAAAAACAAAGAUCGACCAAAUGGACCAAUACGGCAAUGCCACGAUGAUCCAUUUGGCAAAGUAAAUCCAUUGGGUAUCCUUGUUGGUCUUCAGACAACAAUUCUGAUGGCUAAAGAACCAAAUGGGACAGGCGAAAAAAAAAAAAAAAAGAAAAAAAGAAAAAAGAAAAGGAAUACUGAAAGGAGAGAAGGAGGCAAAGAGGAUGCGUUGAAAUGGAGAGGAGAAAGAAGAAAAGACUAAAGACAGUGAGGAAAGGAAACAAGGAAGAAGAAAAAGGAAGAAGGGUUUUGGCAGAGGAGGGUUGCACAGGAGAAAAGAAGGAAAGAAAACAAAGAAAACAGACUGAAUUAUUACAUGUGAAACAAACACAAACGGAGAGCGUAACAUAAAAAUCAAAAAUGCUUUUUAGAAUCACUCUAUGGUGAUGGAGACUGGCCCACCCAUUAAUGAGGGGGUGCGUUGGCUAUCAUUAUACAUAUACAACAGAUAUACAAAAGUGGCAAGGCAUUGUAAAUUCAUCUGUGGAUAUAUUUGGGCCUCAGCAGUCUGGUUUGCCUCUGUCUAUCAGGUCAUUUGGGCUCGUUAAACCUUCUUUUAUUUUUCGCUUUACUUUACAGCACACACCCACACUCUGCACACAUCACUGAAAAACAGCUUUGCGUUUUUGUUCUUAAAUGCAGAACGGUGUUGGAGAAAACAUGUCUCCGGUCUUCCCAGGCCACAGUGUGAACUGAGGAGAGUUGAUGAAGGGUCAGAGACGGAACAGAACAGAGGAGUCUAGUUCUGGUUGCUCCACACAGCCCCGAGGCCCUCUGGGUAAUUUGAGCAGUCUUGCACAAAGCAGAUGCUACCCAGGGACACCCUCGCACCCCCCAAAGCCCUCUGUCCUUAGUCACUGAGCCAAAUCAGUGCCCAUUUGUCCCCUCACCUCCUACUUUUUCUUCUUUUUAUUUUUACUCAGUCCUUUUAAACCUCUACUAUUCUUCUUCUCUGCCUCCAUCCUACUUUCUGAUGUAGGAAGAGAUGAGAGAAAAGGAUAGCUCCAUCUACUAGCCAUUUGUACUACUCCUUCCUUAUUUUCUCCCUCUCUUAUUUUAUAAGCUUCUUCACUCUCUGAUAUUCUCCUGCUUCAAAGAGGGCAUCUCUGUUAAAUUCUAGCAGUAUGAUGAGAAGGAUCAUUUGGAAAUUUUCAAUAGAGUCAAGAAAAUUACUUUGACCUAACCCUAACUGUGCA
ensembl:lncRNA